CUAAAUGGAAGAGCAUCUGUUUCAGUCUAUGAAACUCCAAGGUGGGUAAAGGUUAUUGCCUCACAAAACAGUGUUUAUGGUGCACUUGCUGCCUCCCGUGAGGAAAGCUGUCAGAUAAGAACAUGCUGUGCUUGUUGAUGCCUGUAUAGAGAAUUUCUGGAACGAGACCUAAGAUAAAUGAAUAGUAGGGGGCCUGUUGGAUGGCUCAAUGGGUAAAGGAGCUUGCUGCCAAGCACAGUGAUCUGAGUUCAAUCCCCAAGAUCCACUUGGUGAAAGAUUCCAAAGUCUUCCUGCCAUCAGGUACUGGGGCUAAUGGUGGGUGCCCUUUCUCGGCAGGUGAAGUCCAAGACAGUGGCUCAGUGCGUGGAGUACUACUACACUUGGAAGAAGAUAAUGCGGCUAGGGCGGAAACACCGGACACGCCUGGCAGAAAUCAUUGACGACUGCAUGGUGAGCGAUGUCACUCUGACCCCUCUGACCUCUCUGCUCUGCCUGCACUCUGUUCCCAGGCUAGUAAGUGGCUAGUGUGUUUUGGCUUUUCCAGGCAGCUGCUAGGAAAGGCGACAGAGUUCCCUGCGCACUUGUGAAACAUAGGACUUGACUCCCCGCUGUAGGCGGAAGGAAGGCAUUCCCUGGUUUGGGCUAAACCCUUCCUUUAGUAAAAGAUGAAAUGCGUUUCUAGGCAGGCAGGAGCUGGAGUUAAACCAGGCUGGUCUGUCCCACCGUUCACUUGGUUGGCUCAUAGGAGUGUGUUCUCUCCUGCUCUAAGAUCCUUCCUGAGCCUUCCACAUCACGGAUGCCAUUGGCCUGAGAA
rnacentral:lncRNA from 1 species